rnacentral:rRNA from 1 species
UACGGAGGAUCCAAGCGUUAUCCGGAUUCAUUGGGUUUAAAGGGUGCGUAGGCGGAAUGAUAAGUCAGUGGUGAAAUCCUGCAGCUUAACUGCAGAACUGCCAUUGAUACUGUCAAUCUUGAGUACAUUUGAUGUGGGCGGAAUGUGUCAUGUAGCGGUGAAAUGCUUAGAUAUGACACAGAACACCGAUUGCGAAGGCAGCUCACAAAACUGUAACUGACGCUGAGGCACGAAAGCGUGGGUAGCAAACAGG